rnacentral:rRNA from 1 species
GAACGAACGCUGGCGGCACGCCUAACACAUGCAAGUCGAACGAGAAGCUAGCUUCGGUUAGUGGACAGUGGCGGACGGGUGAGUAACACGUGGGAACAUGCCUUUUGGUACGGAACAACCAUUGGAAACGAUGGCUAAUACCGUAUACGCCCUUUGGGGGAAAGAUUUAUCGCCGAAAGAUUGGCCCGCGCUAGAUUAGCUAGUUGGUAAGGUAACGGCUUACCAAGGCUACGAUCUAUAGCUGGUUUGAGAGGAUGAUCAGCCACACUGGGACUGAGACACGGCCCAGACUCCUACGGGAGGCAGCAGUGGGGAAUAUUGGACAAUGGGGGCAACCCUGAUCCAGCGAUGCCGCGUGAGUGAUGAAGGCCUUAGGCUUGUAAAGCUCUUUCAGGGGUGAAGAUAAUGACGGUAACCUCAGAAGAAGCUCCGGUUAACUUCCGUGGCCAGCAGCCGCGGUAAUACCGGAGGGAGCUAGCGUUGUUCGAAUUACUGGGCGUUAAAGCGCGCGUAGGCGGCUUUGCAAGUAUAGGGUGAAAUCCCAGGGCUUAACCCUGGA